UACGAAGGGGGCUAGCGUUGUUCGGAAUUACUGGGCGUAAAGCGCACGUAGUCGGCUUUGCAAGUCGGUUGUGAAAUCCCCGGGCUCAACCUGGGAACUGCAUCCGAGACUGCAUUGCUAGAGUAUGGGAGAGGAAAGCGGAAUUUCUGGUGUAGCAGUGAAAUGCGUAGAUAUCAGAAGGAACAUCAGUGGCGAAGGCGGCUUUCUGGACCAAUACUGACGAUCAGGUGCGAAAGCGUGGGGAGCAAACAGG
rnacentral:rRNA from 1 species